CACUUAUUCAGAGCUACGGAGGCUAGUGACCGAUGAAGUAGCAGCAACCUAUUGGAUUAGGUGCUUAACACGAGGGGCAACGCCCAUCAAUAAGGA
rnacentral:ncRNA from 2 species